GACGAACGCUGGCGGCGUGCCUAACACAUGCAAGUCGUGCGAGAAAGUUCCUUCGGGAGCGAGUAAAGCGGCGCACGGGUGAGUAACACGUAGGUAACCUGCCCCCCAGUCUGGAACAACUAGAGGAAACUCUAGCUAAUGCCGGAUGAGACCACGAUCCCUUCGGGGGUUGCGGCCAAAGAUGGCCUCUACUUGUAAGCUAUCGCUGAGGGAUGGGCCUGCGGGCCAUUAGCUUGUUGGUGAGGUAACGGCUCACCAAGGCUGUGAUGGCUAGCUGGUCUGAGAGGAUGACCAGCCACACUGGACUGAGACACGGCCCAGACCUCCUACGGGAGGCAGCAGUGGGGAAUAUUGCGCAA
rnacentral:rRNA from 1 species